rnacentral:rRNA from 1 species
GUGAGGAAUUUUCCGCAAUGGGCGAAAGCCUGACGGAGCAAUGCCGCGUGAAGGAUGAAGGCCUAUGAGUUGUAAACUUCUUUUCUCAGAAAAGAAUUAUGACGGUAUCUGAGGAAUAAGCAUCGGCUAACUCUGUGCCAGCAGCCGCGGUAAGACAGAGGAUGCAAGCGUUAUCCGGAAUGAUUGGGCGUAAAGCGUCUGUAGGUUGUUUAAAAAGUAUUCUGUCAAAGAUUAGGGCUUAACCCUAGAUAGGCAGAAUAAACUUUUAAGCUAGAGUUUGGUAGAGGCAGAGGGAAUUCCCGGUGGAGCGGUGAAAUGCGUAGAUAUCGGGAGGAACACCAAAGGCGAAGGCACUCUGCUGGGCCAAUACUAACACUGAGAGACGAAAGCGAGGGGAGCAAAUGGGAUUAGAAACCCGUGUAGUCC